GUGAACGGGAAGACUACUUGCCCCACCUGUAUGGCCGGCACGCUGCCUACAAACUUCCUGACACUAUGGGAGACAUUAUUGAGGGACGGUUCAACUGGUCACAACCAGUCUCCGACCAGGAAUGGAGAUUAACCUGUCAUAACAUGCUCACUCCGACCAACGUGAACCACCACUCCACUCUCUGGUACCGUAGAUAGAGAUUUCCUGU